AGUGAACGCUGGCGGUAGGCCUAACACAUGCAAGUCGAACGGCAGCACAGUAAGAGCUUGCUCUUACGGGUGGCGAGUGGCGGACGGGUGAGGAAUACAUCGGAAUCUACUUUUUCGUGGGGGAUAACGUAGGGAAACUUACGCUAAUACCGCAUACGACCUACGGGUGAAAGCAGGGGAUCUUCGGACCUUGCGCGAUUGAAUGAGCCGAUGUCGGAUUAGCUAGUUGGCGGGGUAAAGGCCCACCAAGGCGACGAUCCGUAGCUGGUCUGAGAGGAUGGUCAGCCGCACUGGAACUGGGACACGGUCCAGACUCCUACGGGAGGCAGCAGUGGGGAAUAGUGGACAAUGGGCGCAAGCCUGAUCCAGCCAUACCGCGUGGGUGAAGAAGGCCUUCGGGUUGUAAAGCCCUUUUGUUGGGAAAGAAAAGCAGCAGGUUAAUACGCAGCUGUUCUGACGGUACCGAAAGAAUAAGCACCGGCUAACUUCGUG
rnacentral:rRNA from 1 species